ensembl:lncRNA
CAGUCUAUUUUAAAUUUGAUAAAAGGAUGUUUUAAAGUCCUAAGUUAUUAAAUAUAGAAGGAAUAAGGGCAAAAGAGGUAAUAUCAGAAUGUAUAUUUCAUCUUAAUUAAGUUGGCAAACCACCAACUAUCUGUUUUUGUAAAUAUGGUAUGUGGUCUAGAAGAGGAAUUUUUGGUCCAUAACAUAGCUCUCUAAUAGACUUUUAAACUGCACCCUAAAAUAAGUAUUGAAUGUAAAGCCUUUUGGGAGUUGUGGACAGUGUCUAGAGUAUACAUUUUCUCACCUUGUGACAGGGAGGAAUAGGAGUAGAUUGUUAUAGAGAGACGCUAAAAACAAAGCCCCUAAAAUAGCAGUUUUAUAGUCUUGUGGUCUUGACAGUGGUCUGUUUCACCCUUAGAAUGAAUGCCUAGAAGCCAUUACAGUUAAUGGGGCAAGCUGUGAAGCUAGAAGCAAACAGAGUUCUGAACACAACUUUUCCGCUCGUGUUUCUGAAUAUGAGAUGAAGUUUCUGGUAUCUACUAAUGUUAUUGAUCAAACCAUGAUGCUUUUAUGUCUCCAAGUACAUUUAUGCUUAAAAGUUUUUUCUUUUAAAGACAGGGUCUCACUCUGUUUCCCAGUAUGGAGUACAGUGGCACAAUCAUAACUCAUUGCAGCCUUGAACUCCUGGGUUCAAGCAUUCCUCUCACCUCAGCUUCCUAAGUUGCAGAGAUGACAGGCACUUGCUACCAUGCCCAGUUAAUUUUAAGUUUUAUAGGGACAGGGUCUCUCAGUGUUCCCCAGCCUGGUCAUUAACACUCUGCCUCAAGUCAUCCUCCCAACUCAGCCUUCCAGAGUUCCAGGAUUAUAGGCAUGAGCCACUGUUCCCAACCUAAAUCUACCACUUAAAAAAAUAAAUCAGUUUGUCUUCAUCUUGAAAAAAAAAAAAGGAAGUGGUAGAAUGGUGUGGUGAGGAAGGACAUGGUAUCCAGAAGGCCCUGGUUUUGGUGUUAGCACAGGACAAGUCAUCUAACUCCACCCUGAGAUAAAUUUCUUCACAGGAAACAAAGAUGUUAGACUAAACUAUGUUGGGCCAAACCUAAAGCUCCCUCCAAUUCUUAAAAUAAUUCCAUGACUCCGAAUUUAAAACCAGUAAGUUCUUGUAUAAAUCAUAUUUCUUGCCAAAAUGCCAAGCACCAUAUGGGCUCUCUUGCUCUCUGUAAUCUGGACUCAGUGAUGCCAUAAAUCAAAUUAUGUCUCCUAAGACACAGCUGACAAAUUUAGACUAGAGUGUGGGAGUUUGUCCUGUUCUCUGACAAGAGCCACAAGGAGGGGUCAAUCAUUUUCUUAUAGUUCAACAUAAGUCCCAACAAGCCCGGGACCCCUUUGUUUUAAAGGUCACAUGACCUUGACACUUUUUCAGGUAAGACUGGCAUUGUGACCUUAUAUUUCUAGAGAAAUGCCUCAAGGCCUGGAAUUAAGAACAUCCAUCCAGUCUACUUUAUAAAGCUUUCCUAAGUCUGAUACCACUGAAGUAAAAAGUGCAAAGCUUACACUGAACAAUAACAAUUACAUUGGAAGUACAUAAACAAUGACAAUAAAAGGGAUCGUGGAAAUGGAUCUUUUCUAGACAAAUGUCUAAGGACGGGUGAUUGCCAAAGCCCAGGAUCAUGGUUCUGAAUGGCACACAUGCAAUUUUAAAAUACCUCUUCACUCAUAUUUCUCAUAACCAUCAAUGCAAGACUCUUGAUCUUUUGAUAAGAGCUAGAUAUCAUUUCAUUUUUUUCACUGUUUCACAGACAUUUUGAAAUCCUGUAACAAAAGUUGAUAUGAAAUGAAUGUAUGAGAUUUAUCUAAAAUGCAACUGUAUUUGGCAAAAACACUGCCUAUGGAAAUCCCCUUUGUGUAAGAUCAGACGUAGAUAUUGAUGAGGCAAUAUGCAGUCAGCACAAUAAAUGAUCACGAGUGACUACUUCAGCUUCGGUAUUAAUGUCGUCCUCAUGUCUCUCUUCUAGCUAUUUGCAUCCCUUUUGAACAUAGCUCAUUUCUAUGGAACACACACUCUUUUGGUUGAAUGUGCUACUUCUCUCACAGACAAAUUAAAUAAAAAUUUUAACAGUUAAAACCGAUAGAGGACUAACUCUGCAUUUCUCCAUUGUGCUUACAAUAAUCCGUGUUGAUUUUGUUUAGUUUGUCACUGAAGAGUGGUUCCAAUUUCUGAAAUAUAAUACAUAAAACAAAAAAUAAUUCUAUCACAUUGUAUUUAAUUAUAGUGACAAGCUGAUAGGAUGGCAUGAUAUUAGUAAAAGAACAGAGGUUUAAGUCAGAAAAUCUGGGUUUUCAUCCUGGUUUCACCACUUCAGAGUGUGUGUCCGAGACUCACUCAGCUCAUCUGUAAAAUGAGAGAGAGAAUACUCACCACAUUGGACCAUUAUAAGGAUUAAAUUAAGUAAUUUAGAUCAAUGGAAGAGCACUGUGCAAAUGCUAGCUGCGAUUCUGUAAUCCAGUCAAUGCCACCUCCUACUGUCUGUGGAAGGAGGUGGAAUGACUGAACGGAAGAUGAUCAAUGAUUAAAGGAGAGAUGUGGGG